rnacentral:hammerhead_ribozyme from 1 species
AUCCAGCUGACGAGCCUCAAAUAGGACGAAACGCGCAUCCUAGAU